rnacentral:rRNA from 1 species
UACGAACCGUGCGAACGUUAUUCGGAAUCACUGGGCUUAAAGCGCGUGUAGGCGGGACGGUGCGUCGGCCGCUGAAAUCCCCCGGCUCAACCGGGGAAGGGGCGCCGAUACGACCGCCCUGGAGCGACGUAGGGGGAACUGGAACUUCCGGUGGAGCGGUGAAAUGCGUUGAUAUCAGAAGGAACGCCGGUGGCGAAAGCGACGUACUGGACCUCUUCUGACGCUGAGGCGCGAAAGCUAGGGGAGCAAACGGG